rnacentral:snRNA from 1 species
GGAUGUGAGGGCUAUCUGGCUGCGACAUCUGUCACCCCUUUGAUCACCAGGGUUGAUUCAGCUGAUCUGGCUGGCUAGGCGGGUAUCCCCUUCCUCCCUUACCGCUACAUGUGCAUCCCUCCCGAAGCUGCAUGUUCGGUGGAAGAGGACGACCAUCCCAGAUAGAAGGAGUGUACCAAUCUUCGGUCAAGGGUAUACGAUAGCUGCGCUCCCCUGCUAGAACCUCCAAACAAGCACACACAAUACACACACAAGGAAAGGGAGAUAAAUUUAUUUUACUAUCUCUUUGAGACAUAAUAAU